rnacentral:rRNA from 1 species
AACGAACGCUGGCGGCAGGCCUAACACAUGCAGGUCGAGCGGGGGAGCAAUCCCUAGCGGCGGACGGGUGAGUAACGCGUGGGAACGUACCCUUUGCUUCGGAAUAGCCCCCGGGAAACUGGGAGUAAUACCGGAUGUGCCCUACGGGGGAAAGAUUUAUCGCCGAAAGAUCGGCCCGCGUCUGAUUAGCUUGUGGGUGAGGUAACGGCUCACCAAGGCGACGAUCAGUAGCUGGUCUGAGAGGAUGAUCAGCCACAUUGGGACUGAGACACGGCCCAAACUCCUACGGGAGGCAGCAGUGGGGAAUAUUGGACAAGUGGGGGAAACCCUGAUCCAGCCAUGCCGCGUGAGUGAUGAAGGCCCUAGGGUUGUAAAGCUUCUUUUGUGCGGGAAGAUAAUGACGGUACCGCAAGAAUAAGCCCCGGCUAACUUCGUGCCAGCAGCCGCGGUAAU